UGGCGCUUAAGCGCGCGA
rnacentral:snRNA from 1 species